AAUUAGGGCAAUUUAACAAAAAAAAAAAAAAAAAAGAUUUUCACAUUUCUAAAUCUAUUUUAAAGAUGUUAUGACUGAGAUCUAGUAAGUGAAAAUAAGCUGAAAGGAUUAUAAGAGAAAGGAUUCCUCUGCCUUCCAGAUCCUAGGAUUUAAAAUGCCUUUAAUCCAAUUAUUUUCAGAAUGGAAAAAGGCCAUCUAAUUAUAUUUUGGAAGAAUAAAAACCUGCUGGAAAGACGACCCUUUACAGACAUGUAAAAAGCACCAGGUAAAUUUAGAGUUCAUAAAACAGAAUCCCUUUUCAUGUUUUUGUUUCUCAUACUGUAAUAGCAGGUCAGCUUCUACUAUUUAUAUUUGUGCUGCUGUUAAAGCUAGAACUCACAUAUGCUAUUCUUUAAUCAUCACUGAAAAUUACAAAUGGCAUAAUGGCAUUUAGUUCCACCACCUACUUGGCAAAACUGCGUCACUUAGAUUUUUCUAAAAAAAUUUUUAAGAAGUUUCCAUUGUCAUGAAACAAAGCAAAAAUGAAAUAAGGGCAAAAGACAACUGACUUGCAAGAAAAGACAGGCCAUUCAGGGAUGGCACCAUCAGACAACUGUGCUGAAGGGACUCCCGAAGUCAGAUGGGCUCCAGGAGUCCAAAGGAAGUUUAUAGUUGCUACCAAACUAUUACAUUUUAGGCAAAAAAGAAAAGCAAAUAAACAAAAAAUGCUAAAAUACCAUUGUUGAAACACAAAUGGAAACACUUUCUGACCAUAUGCCAGGCGUACUAGAUGUGGUGUGAUGUGGCUGGAAAGCAAAGGAGAUCUGGGUUUAAAUUCUGCUCUGCUACUUCAGAGCUCUCUGUCCUAAGGAAGACCACUUCUGUACUUCAGUUUCCCAUUAGUAAAAUGGGAAUAAUAGAUGCCCUCUUCCUCGUCCAUCGCUGCCGCCUCCUUCUUCUGCUGCUCUUGGAGCUGCUUGUGUGCUCAUGAGGACCUGGUACCUCUUUUGUGAAGCACCAGCUGAGGAGACUCUGGUGCUCGACAUGGCCGACGAAAAGCUCAAGGAAGGAGUAAAGACUGAGAACAACGAUCAUAUUAACUUGAAGGUGGCAGGGCAGGAUGAUUCUGCGGUGCAGUUUAAGAUUAAGACACCACUUAGUAAACUAAUGAAAGCAUACUGUGAACGACAGGGUUUGUCAAUGAAGCAGAUCAGAUUCCGAUUUGAAGGGCAGUCAAUUAAUGAAACAGACACACCUGCACAGUUGGAAAUGGAGAAUGAAGAUAUAAUUGAUGCGUUCCAGCAGCAGACAGGAGGUGUCUACUAAAAAGGGAACCUGCUACUUUACUCCAGAACUCUGUUCUUACAGACCAAGAAUACAUUCUCAAUUAGAAAACUGUAAUUUGGUUCCACCACCUUCUGACCACUAUAGUUUUCUUUAUUCUUUCAUUCUCCCCUUCCCCAUUCCUUUAUUGUACAUAAAGUAACUGGAGUAUGUGCACAAGCAUACUGCAUUUUUUUUUAAACUAAAUGGCCAAUGAUAUGUUUUGAUUGUCAACAAAUGGAGAUGGGAUGGGGAAAAAUACUGGUUCUGUGAAAAUAUCCCCUUUCUCCAUUAGUGGCAUGCUCAUUCAGCCCUUAUCUUUAUA